rnacentral:rRNA from 1 species
CCUACGGGAGGCAGCAGUGGGGAAUCUUGCACAAUGGGGGAAACCCUGAUGCAGCGACGCCUCGUGAACGAUGAAGCCCUUCGGGGUGUAAAGUUCUUUCGACGGGAACGAUAAUGACGGUACCCGGAGAAGAAGCUGCGGCUAACUACGUGCCAGCAGCCGCGGUAAUACGUAGGCAGCGAGCGUUGUUCGGAAUUACUGGGCGUAAAGGGUGUGUAGGUGGUGGCGUAAGUUCUGUGUGAAAUCUCCCGGGCUUAACCGGGGAGGGUGCGCAGAAGACUGCGUCGCUAGAGUAUGGGAGAGGUAAGCGGAAUUUCUGGUGUAGCGGUGAAAUGCGUAGAUAUCAGAAGGAACACCUGUGGUGUAGACGGCUUACUGGACCAUUACUGACACUGAGACACGAAAGCGUGGGUAGCAAACAGGAUUAGAUACCCUGGUAGUCCACGCCCUAAACGAUGCAUACUUGGUGUGAGCCAUUCAUUUGGUUCGUGCCGGGACGCGUACGUACGUUAAGUAUGCGCCGUGGGUAGGUACGGUCGCGAGCGUAGAACGUAACGUAAGUAGAGUGNGAGNGAGACGACGACGACGACGACGGACGAGGAG